UCCGGGAGUCCGGGCGGCCACCGCGUGGGGAGUUGUAGUUCCGCUGUAGAGUCCUGGCGGGGAAGCCCCUCCGCCGGGUGGGAAAACGCGGUGAGAGCGCGGGAGGUGCGGCGCUCGGACCUGACGCGCGAGCCUCCUUCCGCCCGGAGGGGUCGGCAGCCUGAGCUCUCAGACCCCUCCGGGCAGUGGGUGCCUUACCCGGGCCUCGGCCCGAACCUCUCCUGCGUGGGUAGAGGAUGGCGCCUCACUCUGAGGCCGGCUCGGAGGCGAGAAGGACCGAGCGUGGCCGUGGUGGCCGCGUGCCUGCGCGCCUUCUCGGGCGCGGCGGGGAGGGGCGAGCGGAGGGGCCCGGUGCUGCCGGCGCCCCGACUUCGCGGCCGCCGAGACGCGCGGCUGGGCGUGGGGGGAGCGGGGCCGGCAGGCCUCCCCGGCCCGCGGCCGGCCCCCGCGUUGUGGAUGGACUAGAUGCUCCUGAGUAUUCCCACUAAGACGGCGGCCAGCGUUUGGGGAUGGGUUUAAUCAGUGUAUCCAGCAUUAACAAGUAAGUUAUUUCAGUUUACCGUUAAGAAGUAGUCGAUUAAGACAGGGCCUUAGUCGGGCUGAUAUUAUACAGCAUAUCCAACUUCCAGAUCCUCGAGAGGACACCAGGAGUCACUGGAAACUUGGAACUUUUGUCAUCUCCGAAAUUGAGAAGAAUGCAUUCUUUUCGGGUUUUUCUACUGGAAGUUGAAUGUUUUAUUACUUUUGAGAUGUGUUUUGAAGCAAGUCUUUAAUAACUAUGUUAAAUGGAUACAAAUAAAAGCAAAUGUUAUGUAAAAUUCUUUUCUUUUUAAAAAAUUUGUUUAGUUGUAGAUGGACACGAUGUCUUUAUUGGUAUGUUUUUUAAUGUGGUGCUGAGGAUGGGACCCAGUGUCUCGCAUGGGCUAGGCAGGUGCCCCACCACUCAGCCACAAUCCCAGCCCCUAAAAUUCUGUCCUUGUCAACUAAAAAUGUUCCUACAUAACGGAAAGCGAUGAAACAAUGCUCAUGAAAAAAAAAAUUCACCUACAAAUACCACUAGUAAAAUUCACCUCCCUUGUCACUUGAAUUUUGUGUUUCUUACCUAUAAUUUGGACUGUAUUAUAAGGGGUUUUCCCCCCUAUUUUCUGCACUUUUUUGAGAAAGAACCUAGAGGAGAAAAAGGCAUGUCCAUGAAAUUUGUGUUUUUUUAGACCUUAAUCGUUUGCCAAGAAAACAUGGAAAGAAUCUACAUCCUUUUGGUUAUUUAUACUUGGGCAGUUAUAACUUUUUUGAGGGAGAAGGAAAAUGCCUAUUUUGACAAGGGAUUUUUCCAUUUCCCAUAAAAUUCCAUUGAUGUCAGUGGCUGUGUUAUUUUAUGCAUUGAGUGAUAAGAUAUGGAAAAAACAUUUUGAACAAAAUAAUUGUAUAUUUAAAGGGUGCCUCCAUGGUCCUGAAAUUUGACAGCGUUACUUUCUUCCUGAAGAAAGCCACACAAGCCAUUUUCAUUGUCUCCAGAUCAAGAACAUUUUUUGUCUCCCCAUCUCUCUAAAACUAGCGCUGAAACCAGUGAUAAAGUCCGAACUCUUGCUUUGUGACUCAUCCAGGAUAAACUCAGAGUGAUUUGUUAUAGGCAACAGAUAGAAAAUUCAGUCAAUUGAAGUGUUUUACUUGUUUAGACUGUAAAUAAACUGUAAUCAAGAAAUAUAUUUUAAAAUAAAGAUCUUAAACUUGGAAAAUAAGUAAUGUCUUUCAAAUAUGAAUGAUUAUGCUACAAAAGCUUCAAAUGCACUUAAUUGAGACAUUUAAUUUCACUGGGUCUAAGAAAUCAAUGCUUUAAGUAUAGACAACAAGAAGUUUAAAAAUGGGAUCUUUACAUUUGUGCAUUUAAACUUGUAUAUAUGUAAAUUAGUUAAUGAUAAUUAUAUGCACCUCAGCUUCUUCCAAAAUGUAUAUUUAGAGGUUUUAAUCAAAAUCAUGUUUUAAUCAAAAUCAUGUUUCCCCCCCAUUAAAACUCAAUAUAAAACAAUAUGUAAAUAAGGUUCAGUAUAAUUACAAUAAAGAUAUGACAAACUCUGGGUUAUUCUGAAUUGUAUAAACACUUCUCCUUCAAGUCCCGACAAGGAGAGAAGUAAAGAUAAAAUUCAGUGAGACUGCAGUUACUUAGCUUUCCUAUUUGAUAGCAAUUGAAAAAAUAUUGGGAAAACCUUGCUUGCCUCUGAUAAAUGGUGAUAACAUAAUCUACCACAAGAAAUUGUGAGAAUUAAAUGAAAUGAUGUGCCAAAAGUGUACAGAGCUUGCACAUGGUAAAUGCUCACUCUUUUUACAUAUACACACAGACAUGUAUUAGCUUUAGUUAUUGGAAAUAAAAAGAUUAGUAUGCUUUCUUAACUCAUUUCUUUCUUUAAUAUACCUGUUAACAAGGAAGUUUAAAAAUAGAAUUGAUUUCAGAAUUUGUAAGUAUAACUUCUAAAUGUAGUUUCCAUAAUCUUAUUUUGUGUUACUAUGCAAUAAUAGAAAUUUGCAUGGAAAUAUUUGGCCCACUCCAUCAUAAUUUGUAAAGCAUGCAAUUUUUAUGAAGGCAAAACUUGGGAAAAAAUGUGCUUCAAGUGAUUUCAAAGGUUUAGAAUCAAAUAAUUUGUAAAAUUUUCAUCCCAGUUGGCUCAGUGAAAGUAUUAAUACCUUCCAAUCAUUAAGUAAAAAAUAUUUGCAUAAAGAGUUCUUUCUGCACAAACAAUAACUCCAGCUUUCUGGGUAAGCUAAUUGAUAAUAGUCCUAGUGAGUGGUUGUAUUGCUUAGCUGAGUUUGUAUAGCAUGACUGCCAACCAUCUGUGGAAUCCGUGCAGGCUUUUUUUAAAGUAAUGAUCCUGAAUUCAUAGUUUUGAUUACAAAUAAAUUCGUUUGUGAGUUGUUUUUUUUCCUGGUACUGGGAGUUGAAUUCAGGGGCACUCAACCACUGAGCCAAAUCCCCAGCCCUGUUUUGUAUUUUAUUUAGAGACAGGGUCUUGCUGAUUUGCUUAGCACUUUGCUUUUGCUGAGACUGGCUUUGAACUUGAAAUCCUGACUCAGCCUCCCAAGCUUCUGGGAUUACAGGAGUGCACCACUGCAUCAGGCUUGCUUGCUUAUUUAUUUAUUUUUGAGAUUUUGAGAUUACCAAAGAAGCUGGAUUUCUGUGUGGGAACAAGCCCACAGCAAGAACCAUUCCUAUCCACAGAAACACCAUCAAUAUUUUGAAAGAGCCAGGUAACUAAAAUUCCUUUAAAUAAGACCUUUGCAUUACCAAGGCUGAAAUGAUCUAGUCUGAGUGAAAUUUUGAUUCUAUGGAUUUGGAAUUAUUGUGAAUGUAAUUCAUGUUUUCUUGUUCACUUUUUAACCAAUUCUAUACCAUUGUAUGGGUUAGCAGUUUUCAAGAUGUAGACUGUGGACCAUGGUAGUUUUGUAAGUAAUUCUAAUAUAUAAUAUAGAAUGUACUUUAUUGUUCAAGAGAGGAUCCUAGCCAACAUAGGUAGAAAAGAACACUUGCUCAGAGUAGGAAAAAUUUUCUUGGACAGAAGUUUGGAGAAAAUGUAGAAAACAAUGUAUUGCCAGGAGGAGUGUAAACAUUGGUGUGAUGUCUUGAAGAGCAAGUGGAAAUAUCUUAAAAAGCUGACAAUGCAUUCAUGGGCUCAAAAAUUCUGCUCUUGGUACACAUCUAGAACAGAGCUUUCCUUCCUUAUUGUUAUGUCAAAAGUGGCCAAGCAGGACUUGAGACAGCUAGAGUCCCUGAGCAGGUCUCCACUGUCUGAACAGCCCUAGUCCUUUACCUAUGUUUUCCCAGUGUGUAUAGUCAUAAAAGAAAUUUCACUGCUCUUGAGAAUUCAGUACCUGGGAUUGAACUCAGGGACUCCCCCCACACCCACACAAGCUACAUCCCUAGCCUUUUGUAUUUGUUUAUUUUAUAAGUUUUCAGACCGGGUCUCACUGGGUUACCCAGGCUGGCCUUGAACUUGCAAACCCUCUCCUGUCUCAGCCUCCCAAAUUGCUGGGAUUAUAGGAUUUCUUACAUGUUUAUAAGACAUGUACAAAAAUGUCCUUACAGGUAUUUCUGAUAAUAGUAAAAAAGUUAAAAGUAACCUAAAUUGAAAAUAAGUGUCCAUCAAUAGAAGAAUGAAUAAAUAAAUCCUAUUUAUAAUAAAUAGUAGUUUCAUAAUAAAAUACUAUAUUCAGUGUUUUUAAAUGAACCAGAGUUAAGGGCAUCCUUGUGGUCGAAUCUCAAAAAAAUGGUAGGGGGAUAAAGGCAGCAUACACAGUCUUUGUAGAAUAUGGUAUUAUUUACAUAACAUUGGGAAGCAAGCAAAAAACAGUAGCAUAUUGAUUAGGACUACAGGCCUGUAGAAAAAUGUACAAAGAAAUGCUGCAUGCAAAUUAUAACCAAAUUCAAAUUAGUGGUUGUGUCUAAAGUGGGAGCAAGAGGGUGACAGCUGGCGAUCGGAACAGAGUCCUUCAAUUAUAAUACUGAUACUAUAUUUUUUAAAAUAUUUUUUUAGCUGUAGAUGGACACAAUAUCUGCGAGAACUUAACGGGAACUCAAAAGUAGUGGGCACCCGAGGUAGCAGGAGCCGCCUUAUUGCCAGACAGCAGAGGUUUAUAUACACAACUGAAUACACAGCUUGUUUCAAUUUAGCAUCAUCCAGUUACAGCAGUCAGUCAUUAUCUUAAUAAUUAUACACAGCUUAACUUAAUUAUCAUCAUCUUAAUGGCUCGCUGGCAUUACUUCUCAACCACUCCUUCUAGCAAAAUGCCAGGCGCCAACUUGACUUGAUUGUGGCUCUCAACAUGUUUUAUUUUAUUAAAAAUGUUUCCUCAGCCUUACUGGUGGAAAGUCAGCCACCAGCCUCAGCUUUGAGCAGAAUUAAGUGCCGAAAAAAAUACAACAUUCAUUCCUUAAAUAAAUAUCUAUUGCAUACUUUUUUAGUUGCUAUAUUAAGUUGCUAGGGUUACUGUAAUAAAAUACCACAGACUGAGUGGCUUAAACAACAGAAGUGUAUUUUCUCACAUUUCUGGAGGCUAGAAGUCCAAGAUGAAGGCAUCUGAGGUCUUUUGUAGAUAGUGAUCUUCUCCCAGUGUUUGGGUGAUCUUUCCCAAUGUGUAUGUCUGCUAAUCUCAUUUUAUAAGAAUACCAGUCUGUUGCAUUAGGGCCUGCCCUAAUGACCUUAUUUAAAUUUAAUUGUUUCUUUAAAGAGCCUGUCUACAUAUGUUGCAUUCUGAGAUACUGGACAUUAGGACUUCAACAUACAAAUUUUGAAAGGGAUACAGUUCAUCCCCUAAUAGGUAUUUAUUGCUGAGUAAGUCCUUCAGCCCUGGAUGUUACCUAUAGAAAAAAAAAAUGUGUGAAAAAGCGCUGAAACUCUUCGAAGGAGCCACUGCUUGUGUGGUAUUUCUAUACUUAAAUCUUAAAUAAGGAUGUGCAGCCCUACGUCUAUCCUUUGAUUUUUCCCUUACUUGUACUUUAUAAAAUGGUUGAGAAUACUGAAAAUACACAAUAGCAAAAGAAAAAAAAGGCAGUUUUGUUUUCCUUUGUUGGUGCUCUUUUGGAAAUGUCAAAUAGAUAAAACUGGUCAUGCAAUCCAUACUGAUCCCUCCCACUUUUAGUUCAAUCAUUUGUGUUUAUGUUGUGUAGUUAAGCUUAAGUUUACCCUGAUAAACAUAGUGAAUGUUUGUUUUCCCCUAACUAGAUUGGGCAUUAAAGAAAGAGAAUAAAUGCUGGGUCCAUACCUAUAAUCCCAGCUACUUGGGAAGUUGAGGCAAGGAUCACAAGCUCAAAGCUAGCCUCAGCAAUUUAUUGAGGACUUAAGCUACUAAGUGAGACCCUGUCUCAAAAUAAAAAAUAAAAGACCUGGGAUGUGGCUCAGUGGUAAAGUGCCCCUGGCUUCAAUCCCUGGUAUAAUAAUAACAAUAACAAGUGGGCUGGGGCUGUAGCUCAGAGGCAGAGUGCUCACCUGGCAUGUGAGAGGCACUGGGUUAAAUCCUUAGCACCGCAUUAAAAUAAAUAAAGGCGCGCUGUCCAUCUACAACUAUGAUGAUGAUGAUGAUAAUAAUAAUAAUAAUAAUAAUAAUAAUAAUAAUAAUAUUAUUAUAUUCCCCUAAACCUUCUGCUUCAUAAUCCUUGGUCCAUUUCUGCUAGUAUCUGCUCAUGAAAUGGACUCAUAAUGAUACUCUAAGGACCUGAGGGAAAUGCUUUCACACUCACUUUUCUUCUUUGGAUUUGGUUAAUACAUUUUGGGUGUAGCUAUAAUGUUAGAUAACUAUAAAUUUGUUUAUUCACGUUUAUGGGCUUUACACAGUUAUUUCUACAUUCUUGCAGUAAAUAUUACUGAGUUAACAUGUAUAAAGCAUAUUGAUAAUGAAAUGUACUUUAUUAAGCAAAGCUUAACAGUGUUAUUUCACUGUAUAAUGUCUUAUAUUAAAACACAAAAUUUCGGGGCUGGGGAUGUGGCUCAAGUGGUAGCGCGCUCGCCUGGCAUGCGUGUGGCCCGGGUUCAAUCCUCAGCACCACAUACAAACAAAGAUGUUGUGUCCGCCGAAAACUAAAAAAUAAAAUAUUAAAAAAAAAAAACACAAAAUUUCGGAAUCAUAAGCAAUGAUUUUAUUUCAUGAUUAGAGACUUAUGGAUACUAAUCUAGGAAAGAGAUUCUUUGGAUUUUUGUUGUUGUUGUUGUUUUUAGAGACAGAGUCUCACUGAGUUGCUUAGCACCUUGCUGUUGCUGAGGCUGGCUUUGAACUCACAAUCCUCCUAUCUCAGAUUCCUUGUGCCUCUGUACCCAGCAGACCUUUAGUUUUGAAAUGUUUGGUUUUACAAUUUAUAUAUACAAGUUUAUUGGAUAAUGUCAUCAUCCAGUCUCAUUAAGAAGCAUAUAGUACAUGAAGGACAGGUUUGACCCUUGGAUAAUUCUUCUUAGCUCCUCUCCCAGUGACACUGGUCACCUCAUGGAAGAAUUUACCAAUUUGGACUCUCUGAGGAGACAGAGAAAGAUAAAUUAGUAAAGGUUGAAUUAUGAAUUUUAAGAAAAUUGUUUCUUUUUCAAUUUUUUAUUUUGAAAUAAGACUUAGAAAAAAGUUGCAAAAAUAGAAUUCCCUUAUAACCUUUGCCAAUCUUUCCUAAAAUUAACAUCUUACAAAGAUUUUUGUACAUAGUGCAGAGAUCAAAACCAGGAAAUUAACAUCAACAAAACACCAUGAACUAAAUUAAAAACUUUAUUCAAAUUCACCAGUUUCCAACUAAGUUUUUUUUCUGGUCCAGGAACCAGUCCAGAAUCCCAUGCUGCAUUUAUUCGUCAUGUCCUAGUUUUCUCCAAUCAGUGACAGUUUUUCAGCCUUUCAUGGCACUGCUGGAGAGUCAAAGGUCAGUUGUUUUGUAAAAUGUCAGUAUAGAUUUAUCUAAUGUUUUCUCAUUAUUAGAGUAAAGUUGUUCUGGCAGAAUCAUCACAGAAAUGAUGUACUUUCAAUACAGGGAGAAUAUAAUGUUGAUAUUUCUUAUUAUUGAUGAUGCUAACUUUGAUCACUUGGGUUAGAUGGUAUCUGCUGGGUUUCUCCACUGUAAACUACUUAUCUCCUUGUAAUAAGUAUUUAUCAUGUAGACAAAUGUACUUAAUAAAAUGAUGAAAAGAUCUUGUUUCUCAUAUUUGUCCCUGUUUAAUAUUAUCAGCAAUCCAUUAAUAGGUCUUGCCUCAAACAACCGAUGUUUACGUAACAGGGAUUAUUUUCCUUAUUUCUUCUACACUUAUAAAUUGAAUUUCUUGCUGGGCACGGUGGCACAUGUCUAUAAUCCCAGUGGCUCUGGAGGCUGAGACAGGAGGAUCAUGAAUUCAAAGCCAGCCCCAGCAACUCAGCGAGGUGAGACCCUGUCUGUCUAAAAAAAUACAGAAAUGGCUGAGGAUGUGGCUCAGUGUUUAAGUGCCUCUGGGUUCAGUCCCCAGUACCAUAAAUAAGUAAACAAACAAAUAAAUAAAUAUUUAUUCAAUCACAUACUGGUGUCGGACACAUGAAUUUUUAAGAAAACUAUUAUUUUUAAGUAAUAGAAAGAACAUAAGAUAGAGAUUAAAGUUUCAGACUCUGGAAUAAACCACUCUGGAUUAAAUUCUUCUGUGUGAAUUUGGCAAGUUACAUAACCUCUCUCUGCCUUAGUUUUCUCAUUUGUGAAAGGAGAAAAUAACAGCUACUGUGGUUAGUGUGAGAAUUGAGAUAAUACAUACAGUCUUUGGCCUAGCUUUAAUUUUUCUUAGCAAAUGUUUUAUACCAUGCUUAGUUUUGCUAUGUUUCCUCAUCUACAAACUAAAUAUAAAGCAUUUAUUAUAUUCUUGCUUCCCUGAGAAAUUAUGAAAAAUCCAUGAAAUAAAUUUUAAAAUGCCUUAUAAUGUUAAGGAGACUCAUAAUAAGUUCUAAUUUCUUAAAAUGUAUCAAGUUUGAUUAUUGCUAGAAUCAUGAUUCUGUUGUGGGGCUGCUCCGUGGUGUUAGAUAUGUAAAGGACCAUAAACGUGAUUAAAUUAUUUUUAAGAUCUUAGAUAAUGUUUCAAGGGACGGGGAAAGUCAUAUGACUUAAGUAUGAGAAAAUUCAUAUUCUAAUAUCUCCUUAAAUCUCAUUAGGGAUAAAGGAGUCUAGAGUGUGAUAUUUUUCAUAUUGAAUUAUUCCAUUAGGGCUGGGUCUGUAGCUCAGUGGCAGAGCCUAGCACAUGUGAGGCACUGGGUUCAAUCCUUAGCACCUCAUAAAAAUAAACAAAAUAAAAGGCAUUCUGUCCAUUUACAACUACAAAAAAGUUUUUUUAAAAAGAAUUUAUUCCAUUAGAAAUGACUUCUUAUCGGGGCUGGGGCUGGGGCUCAGUGGUAGCGCACGUGCCUGUUAUGUGUGAGGCAUUGGAUUCAAUUCUCAGCACCACAUAUUAAAAAAAUAAAGAUCUAUCAGCAACUAAAAAAUAUUUAAAAAAAGAAAUAACUUAUCAACUCAAUCAAAUGUUUGAUCAAGAUCACUUUUUAUUUGCUAGAAAGAAUAUUUAAUAUUAUAAAAAGUUGCAAAUUAUUUAUAUAUCUUUCCACUUGAAGAAAAUGAAAAUUUUUUUUAUUUGUUCUAAUUAGUUGUACAUGACAAUAGAAUGCAUCAUACAUAAAUGGAGUAUAACUUCUCAUUCUUCUGGUUGUACCUGAUGUAGGAUUCCAUUGGUCGCGUAAUCAUAUAUGCACAUAGGAUCAUAAUGUCUGAUUCAUGCUUCCUACCCCUAUAUCGCCUCCCCUCCCUUCGCUCCUGUCUGUCUAAUCCAAAGUACUUCUAUUCUUCUCUAAUCCUCCCACUUAUUGUGAAUUAGCAUCCACACAACAGUGAAAACAUUUGGCCUUUGGUUCUUUGGGAUUGGCUUAUUUUGUUUAGCAUGAUGUUCUCCAGCUCCAUCUAUUUACUGGCAAACACUAUUUCAUUCAUCUUUAAGGCUGCUUAAUAUUCCAUUGUGUAUCUAUACCACAUUUUCUUUAUCCAUUCAUCUGUUGAAGGGCACCUAGGUUGGUUCCAUAGUUAGCUAUUGUGAAGCCACAUUUAUGUGGCUGUGUCACUGUUGUAUGCUGAUUUUUAAGUCCUUUGGGUAUAAACCUAGGAGUGGGCUAGCUGGGUCAAAUGGUGGUUCCAUUCCAAGUUUUCUAAGGACUGCUUUCCGUAGUGGUUGCACCACCAGCAGUAUAUGAGUGUACCUUUCUCCCCACAUCCUUGCCAACAUUUAUUGUUGCUUAUAUUCUUUUUUUAUAUUUAUUUUUUAGGUUUAAGUGGACACAGUAUCUUUAUUUUACAUUUAUGUGGUGCUGAAUAUUGAACCCAGAGCCUCAUGCAUGCUAGGCGAGCACUUUACCACUGAGCCACAAACCCAGCCCCAUGUUGCUUAUAUUCUUGAUAAUUACCAUUCUGACUGGAGUGAGAUGAAAUCUUAGAGUAGUUUUGAUUUACAUUUCUCUAAUUGCUAGAGAUGUUGGAGCAUUUUUUCAUAUAUUGAUUGAUUGUGUUUCUUCUGCUGUGAAGUGUCUUUUCAGUUCCUUAGCCCAUUUAUUGAUUGGGAUAUUUUGAUUUUUUGGUGUUGGGGUUUUUGAGUUCUGGAGAUUAAUGCUCUAUCUGAGAUUCAUUUACCAGAUUUUCUCCCAUUCUGUAGGCUCUCUGUUCACAUUAUUGUUUCCUUUGCUGAGAAAGAAGCUUUUUAGUUUGAGCCCAUCUCAUUUAUUGAUUCUUGAUUUUACUUCUUGUGCUUUAGUAGUCAUGUUAAGGAAAUCAGUUCCUAAGCUGACAUGGUGAAGAUUUGGGUCUACUUAGGCAUAGGGUUUCUGUUCUAGUGCCUACAUCUUUGAUCCACUUUGAGUUGAGUUUUGUGCAGGGUGAAAGAUAAGGUUUAAUUUCAUUUUGCCACAUAUGGAUUUCCAGUUUUCCCAGCACCAUUUGUUGAAGAGACUGUCUUCUCUAUGUUUUUGGUGCCUUUGGCUAGUAUGAGAUAACUGUAUUUAUGUGGGUUUGUCUCUGUGUCUUCUAUUCUGUACCAUUGGUCUUCUGUUUUGGUGCCAAUACUAUGCUCUGUUGUAUAAUUUAAGGUCUGGUAUUAUGAUGCCUCCUGUUUUACUCUUCCUGCUAAGGAUUGCUUUGGCUAUUCUGGGCCUCUUAUUUCUUCAAAUGAAUUUAAUGGUUGCUUCAUCUAGUUCUAUGAAGAAUGUCAUUGAGAUUUUAAUAGGAAUUGCAUUAAAUCUGUAUAAUGCUUUUGGUACUAUGGCCAUUUUGACAAGAGUAAUUCUACCUAUCCAGGAGCAUGGGAGAUUUUUUCAUAUUCUAAGAUCUUCUUCAAUUUCUUUCUUUAGUUUUCAUUGUAGUGGUCAUUCACCUCUUUUGUUAGGUUGAUUCCCAAAUAUUUUACUUUAGUUGAGAAUAUUGUAAAUAGGGUAUUUUUCCUAAUUCUUUUUCAGUGGAUUCAUCACUGAUGUACAGGAACAUAUUUGAUUUAUGGGUGUUGAUUUUUUUAUCCUGCUAAUUUGCUGAAUUCGUUUAUUCUAGGAGUUUUCUGAUGGAAUUUUUUGGAUCUUCUAGCUAUAGAAUUAUGUCAUUGGCAAAUAGUGAUAAUUUGAGUUCUUCUUUUCCUAUUCAUAUCCCUUCAAUUUCUUUCUUCUGUCUAAUUGCUCUGGCUAGAGUUUCAAGGACAUUGUUGAAGUGGUGAAAGAGGGCAUCCUUGUCUUGUUCCAGUUUUUAGAGGGAAUGCUUUCAAAUUUUCUCCAUUUAUAAGAUAUUAGCCUUGGGUUUAGCAUAUAUAGCUUUUAUAAUGUUGAGGUAUGUUUGAAAUUUAUAAUGUAGGACAUUAUUAUUUAAGAUUUUUCUCAUAAGGGUCAUAAUAAAUAACAGCCAUCUUUUGUUGAGACCUUUACAAAUAUUUCAAAUAGCCUUUGCAAAUUUUGUUUUGAGCUGGGUGUUAUUGCCAUAUUACAGAUACACUGAGGUUCAGAGAAACUGAGUAACUUUCCCAAGGUGCCACAAAGCUGCAAAUUUAGAGAAGCACGCUUCUUCAGUGGGCCUUUUACUGAAUGUUUCUUUGUACACAUCCUCUUUACACAUCCCGUUUUGGAAACUAGAUUAUCAUCUCCUUAAGGACAGGGAAGGUUUUUUCCUGUCCUUUUUACCUAGUACAGUGUCCUGCACGUAGAGGAUACCCAGUAAAUAUUUAAUGUUGUUACUGGGCAAACUGCUACACUGGCAUGUUAAACAAAGUGUAGUUUUACACGGGCAGAAUGAACAAAGAGGCGGUAAACUUACCUAGGUGGUUCAUACCAGUAAAUUUAUUGGAUGACAUAAGAGAAAUAUGAAUCCUCUUUCCCGGGUAAAUUACAGAGGAGGGUAGAUUUGACCAUUCUGGUGGUCUUCUAAGAAAGGACAUAAUAUUUGCUUUUUUCCCCGACUAUCUUCUAGCAGUGAUUAAAGAAAAGAUCAAUUCCAUAGAACUGUUUAGAAUUUACUUGAGAAAACAUCAAUUUUUAUUAUUUAAUUUGGCUUUGGAAUUUUUCAGCAGUCCGGCAGAGGGCGGUGUUGAACUACCAAGAAGGUACCAAGAACUAAUGGGUUCUUCAAAACUGGGUGCUGUCCCACUGAGUAAUGGUUAUAUGAAUAAGAGAGGGAAGCAGGUUGGGGCCAUGGCUCACCUAGUGUGCAUGAAGCACUGGGUUCGAUCCUCAGCACCACAUAAAAAUAAAAUAAAGAUAUUGUGCCCAUCUAUAACUAAAAAAUAUUUUUUUUUUAAAAAAAGAGAGGGAAACAUUUUUUUUUUAACUGAAAUAGAUAAUAAAAAGCUUGUUUAUUGCAGUCUUUCUUCUGAAACAAGGUCUUGCUAGGUUGCCAGCUUUGUGGUUAACUGGGCUCAAGCGAUCCUCCUGUUUCAGACUCCCAAGUAGCUGGGACUACAGGGUAUGAAUGAUUGCAUGAAUUUACUAUAUAAUUUUUUCAUUUCUUAAAGACUAGAUAAAAGUAACUGCUAUAGGUUUCAAAUCAACAAGCAUUCUAAUUUGGAAGAUUUGUUUAAUAAAUAUCUAUAAAGUUUGAAGUGUGCGAAAAUGAUAAUUUCCAUUCAUGUCUGAUGGCAAUACUGAUUGAAACAUACAAUGUAUCUGUCAAUAUGAAUAUAUCAGUGUGUUAGGCCAUGGGCUAAGAACUUUCUGUACAUUAUUCUCAGAACAGCUCUAUGAAAUGAAUAGUGUUCUUAUUCUUUUUAUUUUUAAAUUUUUAUUUAUUUUUAAUUUACAAAAUCAUGUUUAUUGAAUACAACAUAUUGUUUUGAAAUAUGUUUUAUCUGCUUUUAAAAAAAUGAGAAAAGAAGCUAGGCAUGGUGGCACAUACUGGCAAUCCCAGCUACUCAGGAGGCUGAGGCAGGAGGAGCAUAUGUUUGAGGCCGGCUUCAGCAAUUUAGCAAGGCCCUAAGCAAGACCCUGACUUGAAAUAAAAAAAUAAAUAAAGGACUAGGGAAUCCCUAGUACCGCCCCCCAAUUUUUUUUAAAGGCUGGGGAUAUAGCUCAGUGGUAGAAUACCCCUGGAUUCAAUCUCCAAUACCACAAAAACAAAACAAAAACCAAAAAGAACACAAAAGAGGCCCAGUUGUGCUUGCUGCUAAUUCCAGCUACUUGGCAGGUUGAGGCAGAAGGAUCCCUUGAACCUAGGAAUUUGGGACCAGCUUAGGUAACAUAGCAAGACCCUGUCUCUAAAGACAAAAACAACAAAAAAUAAGAAAAUAGUGUCUUAGUUCAAGAUGAUUUCCACUGAUAAGUAACAAAACUGGGACUUGAAUUGGAGGUUUGAAUACCAGAAUCCAUGCUUAUGCCUAGUAAAUUUUACAGCAAAUGACUCUUUCCUCUGUUCAUGGCCCAAUUAUGUGAAUAAUAGUGAAUUUGAGUUUUUUCCCCUUUAACUUUCAGUUGUUGUUGAAGUAUGUAACAACAUUCUGACCCUCCACUACUUACUUUAGGAAUAUUACUGGGAAAUUUGACUUUUAAUUUCCUGGUGGGAUAGUAAUUUAAACUCAGAUGCCAUAGAAUGAUUUGAUUCCUGGUCAAAACACGCAUAUUUAGAAAGUAGCAUGAUACAAUGAAAACUGAAAUUGAGAACCAGGUAAUCUGAUUUAUAGUGUAUUUUACUAAUAUCUGAAUGUGUUUCAGAACUAAUCUCACUAGACCACUGUCUUUCAAAUGAAGGACUAGGAAACUUCAGUUCCCAAAUCUGAGUUUGGUGGUUUUGUAUGUGGGAAUUUUUCUGUUUCAUAUCCACAUGUUAACAUGUCUUGUUCAAUUUCUUGGAGCACUGUGUUAAUAUAAAUGAGAUAAUGUGCCUCGUUUAGCACUCGUGAGGAAUUCUCAAAAGGGUGUAAAGUUCAGAGUCAUUUGUCUGUGACAUUUCUUAGGACAUGGUCUUUCUUCUAUCUAUCCAUGAGUUCCUGGGAAUAGCUUGUACAUUCUUCCUUUAAUUUUGGUUAAAUCAUUUCCUUAGAGGAAAAAAAGGCUAUAUCUGGUCUUUAACUCUUGGUGAAAGGGUGUGGAAUUUGUCAACUUUUGGAAGAAGACUGCAGAAUAAAGGAUGUCAUAAUCUCUAUUCUUAUUCCUUACCUUUCUUCUGUGGAGGCAUUUAGGAAUUAUAUCUUUCUGAAAGUUAAGUGAUGGCAUCAGUUCUUAAAAUAAGCAAAACGUGAAGAGAAUGAUCGCCCAAUUCUUCUGUGAAUGGUUAAUAUAAUGCUGCUUUUUUUUUUUUUCUUUCUCUUUUUUUGGCACCGGGGAUUGAACCCAGGGACACUUUACCACUGAGCUACAUCCUAGCCCUUUUAUUUUGAGACAGGGUCUUACUAAAUUGCUUAUGCUGGCCUCCAAUUUGCCAUCCUCCUGCCUUAGCAUCCCAAGUAGCUGGGGGUUACAGGAUUACAGCAUCUACCACUGUACCUCUGCUAAAGUUAUUUUUCUCUACAGUUUUAGAGAAAAGUCUUUGGGCCACAUAUGUGUACAUCUAGUUCUUAUUAGUUACUAAAGGAUUUGUAGAUGGUAUACAUUCAUUCAACAAGCAUUGAACACUGUGUUAACCAUGGAAAUAUAGCCUUGAACAAAACACAAACAUCCCUAACCUCAUGGAACUUACAAUCUAGUGAGGACAAUAAGUCAAUAAAGAAAAUAAGUAUAAUAUAUAGUAAUUAUAUGGUGGUAGAUUCUAUAGAGAAAAAUAAAACUUGUUUAAAGAAGGGAGGUAGAGGAGUAUUGGAAUGUGUAAAGUUUGCAGUUAUAAAUAGAGUAUUCAGCGAGGCAUGGUGGCACGUGCCUGUAGUCUGUAGUCCCAGCACUCAGAAAGCUGAAGCAGGAGGAUUGCUUAAACCCAAGCAUUUGGGGGCAGACUGGGCAAGGUAAUGAGACGCUGUCUUUAAAAAAGAAAAAAGACACUGGUGUGAUGGUGCAUGUCUCUAAUCCCAGCAGUUCUGGAGGAUGAGGCCAGAGGGUAGUGAGUUCAAAGCCAACCUCAGCAAUUUAGCAAGGCCCUAAGCAACUUAGACCUUGUCUCAAAACAAAAAAUUUUAAAACAGGCUGGGGAUGUGGCUCAGUGGUUAAGUGCCCCUGAGUUCAACCCCUAGUACAAAAAGAGAAAAGAAAAAAAAAAAAAGUAAUAAAAUAUUCAGGAAAUAAUUUGCUGAAAAGUGGACAUGGAGCAAAAACUGGAAGGAAGUGAAAGGAAUAAGCCACAUGGACUCUUGAUAAAAAUAAAAAAAAAAACAAAUAAACAGAAAACUUUCCAGGUAAAGGGAAGAGCAACUACAAAAUUCCUGAAGUGGGAGUGAGCUGUUCAUAAAGAGCAAAGUGGUCAGGGUAGCCGAGGGGCAGACAGAUGAUGGACAGUAGUUUGUGUGUGACUCUAACGUGAGGAUGUCGACUUUCCCCUAAGACAGAAUGUCACUCUCUGCUUCCUGAUCAACGUGUGAGCUGCUUCCCUCUGCCACACUCCUCUGCCCUGACAUCCUGCUGGAGCACCAGGGAAUGAAGCCGCCUUCUAUGGACUGAGACCUCUGAACCCAUGACCCCUGCCUUGUGUAUGCCUUGGCCACUCACCUGCCAUCUGCCGCUGUGGACCUCUGGACUGCUCUGAUGCUGGAUGCUAUCCCCGCCCCAUCUAAGAGAGAACAAGGACUUGGGUGACUUCUCCCAACUUCUCCCACUUUCAGCAGGAAACACUUUGGAGAUGUCCUUGCCCAUUUUUCCAUAGAAAUGGAUUGUAGAAAUUGAUAGUGGGAAAUGUAACAGAGGUCCACUUUAUGCUUGGAAUAUAGCCCUUGCUGCUCUGCCAUGCACCUUAUUUUCAAAAUGAACAUGUUUCUUUCUCUUCCCCUCUACCAGCUCCUCCCUAAUCUUUCCCCCUCCCUAAUCUCUGGGGACAGGGGAUUUCCUCUCUUCCCCUUCUGUCCCUGAGCACACUCCCACCAGAGGAACGAACUAUCUAGACUUUGGGGAUGGACCAGAAGAUCUCAGAAAUGAUUCUCUCCCAAAUUAACAAGUGAAUACAACUCCAGACAGAGAACACAUGGAAUGUGGCCUUUGAGUCACCUCUUUAAAAGCCCCAUGUUCCUGCAGAUGGGCAGAAUCACAGCCUUUGGGACAGGAGUUCCCUGUUUCUCCUUUGCUAGCUAAGCAAUAAACCUUCUUUUUCUUUUUUUUUUUUCUCAAAAAAAGAAAAAAAAGAAUGUCACUGGAGAGCUUUGAGAAGAGAGGCUCACUGCUGAGAAUUAAUUUCAGGGGACCUAGGCAAAAGAAGGGAAAUCAGUCAGGAGUCUUUAAAAUAAAUAGUUUAGAUUGAGUUGGGAGAUUUUAGCUGGAGACCUGGAGAUGGGGAGGGCGAGGUUGGAUUCUGAAGACUGUGAUAACAGACUGUAGGAAAAGUGGGUUCUGUGGGAGAAGACUGCAUUUCCCUGUUAGCUUCACUGUCACUUUUGUCACCUACAGGCCACACAACUGGAACUCAGAAAUGACCAAUUUUCAGCUUCUUACUUUCCCAAACCAUGCUGUAUGCCAUAGGAAUUAAGACUAGGUUGUUUGGGGGAAAUAAAUGCUAGAGCAAUACAAAUUAAUUGGAUAUUUGCCUCAUAUUUUAUUGUUUUGACAUUGUUUUAAAAGGUUAUAUAAACUCCGAAUGGAGCUACAAGUGAUCUAAACACUUCUGCUGCUUUAUUAUAAAUGCUUUUGUAAUCAUGUUAAUUAUAUUACUUUUAACUGAAUAAGGCCUGUGUCUCUUCCUUAUAAAUUGAUGUUUAUAUCCUCUGUAAGAUAAAUAUAAAGCCUUUUUGUUCACAUUUUUAUGUACUUGAGCACCCACUAUAAGAAUGUAGUUGGCAGUGGAUGGUGGAUUUAUAUUAUUAGUCUUAGCUUACUGUUGUAACAUAACAAUUACGCAAAAUAUAUAAUUUGUUUUUGUUAUUUAACGUAGAACUGUAACAGCGUAGACUUAGUGAAGAUGACAUAAGGUACAACAAGGCAAGUAAAUUGCUAUCUAAGUAAAACUUUUACUUCUAAUAUUAGUAGAGUAAUAAAUUUCUCAGUGCUUUCUUUGUUUCCGUGUUCCAAAAUUUCCCUAAACUCUGGUAUAUAUUCAUUGAACAAUAUUUCCUUGAGCUCUGUCUCUCUUUUCAAUGCUGGGAAUGGAAACAUCCUUAGCCCCAAAUAAUAUUUCUGAUUUGAAUAAUUUAGUUUAAGAACAAUGCUGGGUGUGGUGGUGCAUGCCUGUAAUCCCAGUGACUAAGAAGGCUGCAGUAGGAGGAUCACAAGUUCAAAGCCAGCCUCCAUCAUGACUUAGCAAGACCCUAAGCAACUUUGUGAGACCCUGUCUCAAAAACAAAAAGGGUUUUGGUUGUGGCCCAGUGGUUAAGCACCCCUGUGUUCAAUUUCCAAUCCAAAAAAAAUAAUAAUAAUAAUUUAGUUUAAGAAGAAAUAAAGUGUUAACUUUUCCCCAAAUCACUCUCAGUGUUUGUGUUAGCCAGCUUCCUAUUACUGUAACAAAAUACCUGAGAUAAUCAACUUAGAAACAGGAAAGUUUUAUUUUGGUUCACAGUUCUGGAGGUUUAAGUCCAUGGUCAGUAGGUUUCUUUGCUUUGGGGCAGAAUAUCAUUGUGGGCAGUGUGUGGUGGGAAAAACUACUUACCUCAUGGUGGCUGGGAAGCCAAGGAGUGAAGAGUAGGGAAGGGGUCCCAAUAUUCCCUGAUGACCUAACCUCUUCCUUCUAAGUUCCACUUCUUUUUUAUGGUUGUUAAUAUUUUUUUAGUUGUUGAUGUGUCACUUGAUGCUUUAACUAUAUCAUCUCUUCCCAGAUCUUCUCUGAUCUUCUUUUCCCUAACCUCUCCUCCCCUCUUCUCCUCCCUGAUCUCCCGUCCCUAAUCCAUUUUCUCUGAAUCACCUCUUUAAAAGCCUCCUGUUGCUGCUGAUGGAUAGAAUCACAGCCUUUGAGACAGGAGUCCCCUGUGUUUCUCCUUUGCUAGCAAAGCAAUAAACCUUCUUUUUUCCUUU
rnacentral:lncRNA from 1 species